rnacentral:rRNA from 1 species
UACGUAGGGGGCAAGCGUUUGUCCGGAUUCAUUGGGCGUAAAGAGCGUGUAGGCGGCCUGACAGGUCUGCUGUGAAAACUCGAGGCUCAACCUCGAGAUGUCGGCGGAAACCGUCUGGCUAGAGUCCGGAAGAGGAGAGUGGAAUUCCUGGUGUAGCGGUGAAAUGCGCAGAUAUCAGGAAGAACACCUAUGGCGAAGGCAGCUCUCUGGGACGGUACUGACGCGAGACGCGAAAGCGUGGGGAGCGAACAGG